rnacentral:rRNA from 1 species
CCUACGGGUGGCAGCAGUGAGGAAUAUUGGUCAAUGGGCGCGAGCCUGAACCAGCCAAGUAGCGUGAAGGAUGACUGCCCUACGGGUUGUAAACUUCUUUUAUAAGGGAAUAAAGUGAGGCACGUGUGCCUUUUUGUAUGUACUUUAUGAAUAAGGAUCGGCUAACUCCGUGCCAGCAGCCGCGGUAAUACGGAGGAUCCGAGCGUUAUCCGGAUUUAUUGGGGUUAAAGGGAGCGUAGGUGGGUUGUUAAGUCAGGUGUGAAAGUUCGCGGCUCAACCGUCAAAUUGCAAUUGAUACUGGCAGUCUUGAGUACAGUAGAGGUAGGCGGAAUUCGUGGUGUAGCGGUGAAAUGCAUAGAUAUCACGAAGAACUCCGAUUGCGAAGGCAGCUUAC